CACAGUCGCCGCGGGAAUACGAAGGGGGCUAGCGUUGUUCGGAUUUACUGGGCGUAAAGGGCGCGUAGGCGGACUGAUAAGUUAGAGGUGAAAGCCUGGAGCUCAACUCCAGAAUUGCCUUUAAGACUGCAUCGCUUGAAUCCAGGAGAGGUGAGUGGAAUUCCGAGUGUAGAGGUGAAAUUCGUAGAUAUUCGGAAGAACACCAGUGGCGAAGGCGGCUCACUGGACUGGUAUUGACGCUGAGGUGCGAAAGCGUGGGGAGCAAACAGGAUUAGAUACCCCUGUAGUCCCUGUCUCUUAUACC
rnacentral:rRNA from 1 species